rnacentral:rRNA from 1 species
UAGUCCACGCCGUAAACGAUGGAUACUAGCUGUUCGUACCACAUUGGUGGUAUGAGUGGCCAAGCGAAAGUGAUAAGUAUCCCACCUGGGGAGUACGUUCGCAAGAAUGAAACUCAAAGGAAUUGACGGGGGCCCGCACAAGCGGUGGAGCAUGUGGUUUAAUUCGAUGAUACGCGAGGAACCUUACCAAGGCUUAAAUGCAGAUUGACAGGUCUGGAGACAGACCCUUCUUCGGACAAUUUGCAAGGUGCUGCAUGGUUGUCGUCAGCUCGUGCCGUGAGGUGUCAGGUUAAGUCCUAUAACGAGCGCAACCCCUGUUGUUAGUUACCAGCAAGAAAGAUGGGGACUCUAACAAGACUGCCGGUGCAAACCGUGAGGAAGGUGGGGAUGACGUCAAAUCAUCACGGCCCUUACGUCUUGGGCUACACACGUGCUACAAUGGCAGGACAAUGAGCAGCACCCCGUNAGGGGGAGCAAAUCUAUAAAGCCUGUCACAGUUCGG